rnacentral:rRNA from 1 species
GAUGAACGCUAGCGAUAGGCUUAACACAUGCAAGUCGAGGGGCAGCACAAGGUAGCUUGCUAUCUGGGUGGCGACCGGCGCACGGGUGCGUAACGCGUAUGCAACUUGCCCUAUACAGGAGGAUAACCCGUCGAAAGACGGACUAAUACUGCGUAUGCUCACAACUUGGCAUCAAGUGGUGAGGAAAGAAAUUCGGUAUAGGAUAGGCAUGCGUCCCAUUAGCUUGUUGGUGAGGUAACGGCUCACCAAGGCAACGAUGGGUAGGGGAACUGAGAGGUUUAUCCCCCACACUGGGACUGAGACACGGACCAGACUCCUACGGGAGGCAGCAGUGAGGAAUAUUGGUCAAUGGGCGCGAGCCUGAACCAGCCAAGUCGCGUGAAGGAUGACUGUCUUAUGGAUUGUAAACUUCUGUUAGACGGGAAUAACAAGAGUCACGUGUGACUCCCUGCAUGUACCGUAUGAAUAAGCAUCGGCUAACUCCGUG